UACGGGGGGUGCGAGCGUUGUCCGGAAUCACUGGGCGUAAAGGGCGCGUAGGUGGCGUGAUAAGGGUGUGGUGAAAGCCCGGGGCUCAACCCCGGGUCGGCCAUGCCGACUGUCAGGCUAGAGUGCUGUAGGGGCAGGCGGAAUGUGACAAGUAGCGGUGAAAUGCAUAGAUAUGUCACAGAACACCAAUUGCGAAGGCAGCUUACUAUGGUAUGAUUGACGCUGAGGCACGAAAGCGUGGGGAUCAAACAGG
rnacentral:rRNA from 1 species